UGGGGAAUAUUGCACAAUGGGCGGAAGCCUGAUGCAGCAACGCCGCGUGCGGGAUGACGGCCUUCGGGUUGUAAACCGCUUUCAGCAGGGACGAAGCGUGAGUGACGGUACCUGCAGAAGAAGCACCGGCCAACUACGUGCCAGCAGCCGCGGUGAUACGUAGGGUGCGAGCGUUGUCCGGAAUUAUUGGGCGUAAAGAGCUUGUAGGCGGUCUGUCGCGUCGGGUGUGAAAUCCCAGGGCUCAACCCUGGGUCUGCUUCCGAUACGGGCUGACUAGAGGGAGGUAGGGGAGAACGGAAUUCCUGGUGGAGCGGUGGAAUGCGCAGAUAUCAGGAGGAACACCGGUGGCGAAGGCGGUUCUCUGGACCUUUCCUGACGCUGAGAAGCGAAAGCGUGGGGAGCAAACAGG
rnacentral:rRNA from 1 species